GACGAACGCUGGCGGCGUGCUUAACACAUGCAAGUCGAACGAAGUGGCGAACGGGUGAGUAACGCGUAAUAAACCUGCCCUUCAGAGGGGGACAACAGUUGGAAACGACUGCUAAUACCGCAUCCUGAAGAGGGGGAUUGCGUCUGAUUAGCUAGUUGGAGGGGGAACGGCCCACCAAGGCGAAGAUCAGUAGGCGGGGUGAGAGGGUGAACGGCCACAGUGGGACUGAGACACGGCCCAGACUCCGUAGGGAGGGAGCAGUGGGGAAUCUUCCGAAAAGGACGAAAGUCUGACGGAGCAACGCCGCGUGAGUGAUGACGGCCUUCGGGUUGUAAAGCUCUGUUAAUCGGGACGCGGUACCGGAAGAGAAAGCCACGGCUAACUACGUGCCAGCAGCCGCGGUAAUAC
rnacentral:rRNA from 1 species